rnacentral:lncRNA from 1 species
UUAUACUCAAUCACUCAAGUUUUUAUUCAUGAAUGACCAAUCCACUAAGCAUAGAUGUAAACAUGGAAUUCAACAAUUCUCACCAAGCAAGUGUUUCACUCAAUCACUCAAGUGUUUAGGAGGACACUCCACUCUCAACUAUUCACAUGUCAGAUAAAACAAAAUUGCCCUUCAUCUAAAACAAUUAACAUUCUCACAUGCAAAUGUCAUCACAAGGACUUUUCUAAGGCUUAUAAUGAGGCUGGGUUAACAAGAAAAAUUGGUUUUUCUAGAUCACAAAAUCCUUGAGUCAAGAGAGCUAUUUUAACAUUCAAAGUUCAAGUACAAACUCUCUUUUUCACCAAUCUCACUCAUUCCCAACUUCUUCCCUUUUCUUUUUAUUGAGCUCAUCUUUCAUGCUUUUUUUCUUUUCUUCUUUUUCUUUUCUCAUGCAUUUUUCUUUUUCAACACUUGAGCUCAAUACUUUUCUUUUGCCUUUCCCCCAACAACCCCAAACUU